rnacentral:SRP_RNA from 1 species
UGUUGGUUCUCCCGCAACGCUAACUUGUCAACUUGGUCAGGUCCGGAAGGAAGCAGCCAUGGCCGGUGUCGUGUGUGCCGGGAUGUAGCUGGCAGGG